rnacentral:rRNA from 1 species
GUCUUUUUGAUUUUAAUUUAAAGUCUGAUCUGCCCAAUGAAUUAUUUAAUGGCCGCGGUAUAUUGACCGUGCAAAGGUAGCAUAAUCAUUAGUUUUUUAAUUGAGAACUUGUAUGAAUGAUUGGACGAGAAUUUAACUGUCUCUUUUUUUUUAUUAGAAUUUUAUUUUUAAGUAAGAAAGCUUAAAUUUUUUAAAAAGACGAGAAGACCCUAUAGAUUUUAAUAUUUUUUAUUUAGCAUAGGUUUAGAAUUUUAUAUUGUUGUGUAAGAUUAUUUGGUUGGGGUGAUUGUAAAAUUUGAUAAACUUUUACUUAUUUUUUACACUGGUGUGUGGAUUUUUGAUCCUUUUUUUUGGAUUAUAAGAUAAAAUUACCUUAGGGAUAACAGCGUAAUUUUUUUUUGAAGUUCUUAUUUAAGGAAAAGUUUGCGACCUCGAUGUUGGAUUAAAAUUAAUUCUUGAUGCAGUAGUUAGAGGAUUGAGUCUGUUCGACUUUUAAAAUUUUCGACUUUUAAAAUUUUUUGAUGCAGUAGUUAGAGGAUUGAGUCUGUUCGACUUUUAAAAUUUUCGACUUUUAAAAUUUU